rnacentral:miRNA from 1 species
AGAAACCAGCUUACCAAUUAAGA